UAAGAUGAGAGUUUGAUCCUGGCUCAGGACGAACGCUGGCGGCGUGCCUAAUACAUGCAAGUCGAACGAGUCCUCCCAAUUUGAUUUUAUGCUUGCAUAAAUGAUUUUUGGAUUCGGGACGAGUGGCGAACUGGUGAGUAACACGUGGGUAACCUGCCCUAAAGCAGGGGAUAACAUUUGGAAACAGAUGCUAAUACCGUAUAAUUAGUUGGAACCACAUGGUUCCAACUUGAAAGAUGGCUCUGCUAUCACUUUAGGAUGGACCCGCGGCGUAUUAGCUAGUUGGUGAGAUAAAAGCUCACCAAGGCGAUGAUACGUAGCCGACCUGAGAGGGUAAUCGGCCACAUUGGGACUGAGACACGGCCCAGACUCCUACGGGAGGCAGCAGUAGGGAAUCUUCCACAAUGGACGAAAGUCUGAUGGAGCAA
rnacentral:rRNA from 1 species